rnacentral:rRNA from 1 species
AUUGAACGCUGGCGGCAUGCUCUACACAUGCAAGUCGAACGGUAACAGGGUGCUUGCACCGCUGACGAGUGGCGAACGGGUGAGUAAUGCGUCGGAACGUGCCGAGUAGUGGGGGAUAACGCAGCGAAAGUUGUGCUAAUACCGCAUACGUACUGAGGUAGAAAGUGGGGGACCUUCGGGCCUCACGCUAUUCGAGCGGCCGACGUCUGAUUAGCUAGUAGGUGAGGUAAAGGCUCACCUAGGCGACGAUCAGUAGCGGGUCUGAGAGGAUGAUCCGCCACACUGGGACUGAGACACGGCCCAGACGCCUACGGGAGGCAGCAGUGGGGAAUUUUGGACAAUGGGCGAAAGCCUGAUCCAGCCAUGCCGCGUGUCUGAAGAAGGCCUUCGGGUUGUAAAGGACUUUUGUCAGGGAGGAAAUCCCUAGUGCUAAUAACACUGGGGGAUGACAGUACCUGAAGAAUAAGCACCGGCUAAUUACGUGCCAGCCGCCGCAGUAA